rnacentral:rRNA from 1 species
AUACGUAGGGUGCAAGCGUUAAUCGGAAUUACUGGGCGUAAAGCGUGCGCAGGCGGUUUUGUAAGGCAGUGGUGAAAUUCCCGGGCUCAACCUGGGAACUGCCAUUGUGACUGCAAGGCUGGAGGGCGGCAGAGGGGGAUGGCAUUCCGCGUGUAGCAGUGAAAUGCGUAGAUAUGCGGAGGAACACCGAUGGCGAAGGCAAUCCCCUGGGCCUGCACUGACGCUCAUGCACGAAAGCGUGGGGAGCAAACAGGAUUAGAUACCCUGGUAGUCCACGCCCUAAACGAUGUCAACUGGUUGUUGGGGAUUUAUUUUCUCAGUAACGAAGCUAACGCGUGAAGUUGACCGCCUGGGGAGUACGGCCGCAAGGUUAAAACUCAAAGGAAUUGACGGGG